GUGCUCGCUUCAUCAGCACAUAUACUAAAAUUGGAGAAGAUUAGCAUGGCCCCUGAGCAAGGGUGACAUGCAAAUUCGUGAAGCGUUCCAUAUUUAA
ensembl:snRNA predicted gene, 24669